rnacentral:rRNA from 1 species
UGGGGAAUAUUGGACAAUGGGCGAAAGCCUGAUCCAGCCAUGCCGCGUGUGUGAAGAAGGUCUUCGGAUUGUAAAGCACUUUAAGUUGGGAGGAAGGGCAGUAAGCGAAUACCUUGCUGUUUUGACGUUACCGACAGAAUAAGCACCGGCUAACUCUGUGCCAGCAGCCGCGGUAAUACAGAGGGUGCAAGCGUUAAUCGGAAUUACUGGGCGUAAAGCGCGCGUAGGUGGUUCGUUAAGUUGAAUGUGAAAGCCCCGGGCUCAACCUGGGAACUGCAUCCAAAACUGGCGAGCUAGAGUAGGGCAGAGGGUGGUGGAAUUUCCUGUGUCGCGGUGAAAUGCGUAGAUAUAUGAAGGAACACCAGUGGCGAAGGCGACCACCUGGGCUCAUACUGACACUGAGGUGCGAAAGCGUGGGGAGCAAACAGG